GGGAUGGUCAAUGAUACAAUAGAAAACAAUUCAUUUUUCAACUAGAGCAAAUUCUUUAAAAAAAUCGUGGAUCCACACUGCAUGUUCAUGGUCAAUCACAUUAUUAUCAAUUUGUAACAACAUGCAGCCAUACUAAGAAUAUUUCAUGGAUGGUAAAAUACAACACUGUCUUGUAAAAUAUUUCAAUUUCAAGGUGCCAGAUGA
rnacentral:lncRNA from 1 species